UAUGCAGUGCAAUUUUUGUAUUUGUUAAUAAGAGCAUCCGCAGCGCGGAGCUCUAAGCACCGGACUGAGCCGACGAAGAAGGCGCCCCGCGAGCGCGCACCAGGUUGUUUCCAUAGUGCCGGGCAGUUUGAGGAGAAAAGGGAGUCGCGUGCGUUCAACGCGUACAAAUUAAUUUAAAAAGGAAAAAAAAAGAAUUUGGUUUUGCAGGAGAAAGAGAGAGGAGAGAGAAGCAAUUGCAUGAGAAAAAUGGGGAAAGAGAAAGGAGGAGAAAUGGGGGAGAGUCGGUGGAUCGGGAAGAAAGAAAAGAAAGAAAUGGCGGCUGAGAUAUAAAGUGUGGUACAUAAAGUGUGGUACACUGAAUUUCAUUCCGUUAAAAGAAGUAGGCUUUUUAUUUUUUGUUUUUUGCUUUUACUUUUUGUUUUUUCUUUUCUUUCAAAAUCCUAAUUUUUUUUAAUUGUUUUAAUUUUCGCCUAAUUUUUAAUUAUUGUAAUGUUUUUAAUUUUAGCAGAGAUUGAGCAGUUUGUUCUCUUGGGAUCGGGACUCUAUCACGAAUGCCGGCAGCCU
rnacentral:lncRNA from 1 species